rnacentral:lncRNA from 1 species
CUUUGUUCCCAUGUUCUGCAUGGUAUGAAGUGUAACAAGGGUGAGGGGUUUAGUGGGGGAGCAUAAUAUGCUUCCGGCACAUACCUAAUCUCCUCCAUGCUCUCCUGUCAUAUCUGGACAGAAUGCGUAGAGAUUUUACGGCUUUAGGGACACGGAAGCAAUGGAAAGUUACAGAUUAUUGCCAUCGGGGCUUGCAUUGUAUGCCUGAAAUCUCCUGCUGGUUUCCUGCGAGGUGACCGGACAGGGAUGACAGCACAUAGACCUUUUGGGAGGUCUGAAAUUGCUCGGACCCAACUAGCUAGAUCUGGACAUUCUUGGAAUAUGACUGUGCGGUGGUAACAUGGGAUGGGAGGACUGUUUGUUUAGUACCUUCAGUCUUGUGACUUUACCAUGUUUACAGUGCAGCUCUGCAAUUUUGCACAUAAAAGAGAGGGUGAACUCCCUCAUCUCAAUACUCCCAACAUUGAGGGCUUUUACUGUCUUUACAAACUGUUUGUUUGUCGAUGGCUUCUCCCAUCUCAACAAGCCUGUUUUCUAAGUCCAGGGGUGAUGCAUGCUUGGACAGAUGCAUGUCCAAGUGUGAGCCAGCUGCCAGGUUUCAGUGACCUCUGUCUGGUGUUAACAGAGCUUUGACAUGGCCAUGGAAAUGGUCGUUCAUGGGUGGAUGAGUGACAGCAGUGGUUUUCAGCUCACAGCGGUGGUCAGAGCUGCCUGGAAUAGCACACCCAUGUGAUCAACAGUCUAUUUGUAGGUGUGUGUACAGAGCGGGCUGCACUUACACGGGUGUCUCAAGAGAAGAGUGCAGUGAGGGGUCUGCUCUCUCGCUCUGUCGCACGCUCGUUGUCUAUGCCGGUGAAGUUUCACAGGUACUUUCAUUAUUCUGUUAGGCCUGUCUCUGAGCUCGGACCUCCAACGCGUCCAAGAGAAGUACCAUGGUUUUGAAGAAGCUGGCAGUCCUGGGGAAGCAGCUCCUGCGAGUGAAGGUGGUGGACUGCAGCAAUGAAGACACGCGCCUCUCACGCUGCCUCAACACCUUCGACCUGGUGGCGCUGGGCGUGGGCAGCACUCUGGGAGCAGGGGUCUACGUGCUGGCAGGCGCUGUGGCACGGGACAACGCCGGUCCUGCCAUCGUCAUCUCUUUCCUCGUUGCUGCGGCAGCGUCCGUGCUGGCUGGCCUGUGCUAUGCAGAGUUUGGCGCCCGUGUACCCAAGACUGGCUCUGCAUAUUUGUACAGCUAUGUGACGGUGGGCGAACUCUGGGCCUUCAUCACAGGAUGGAACCUCAUCCUCUCCUACAUCAUUGGGACGUCCAGCGUGGCACGUGCCUGGAGUGCCACAUUUGACGAGCUCAUUGGGAAUCACAUUGAGCAGUUUUGUCGUACCUACCUGAGCAUGCACGUGCCAGGCGUCCUUGCAGAGUACCCUGAUAUGUUUGCUGUGCUCAUCAUCCUCACGCUGACAGGUUUGCUGGCCUUUGGGGUGAAGGAGUCUGCUAUGGUCAAUAAGGUGUUCACCUGCAUCAAUGUCCUGGUGCUGCUCUUCAUGGUGGUGUCGGGCUUGGUCAAGGGCACACUCAAGAACUGGAACCUGGACCCCAGCAACAUUCUCAAUACUACUAAUUCUUCUAUUUUAUUCAACACUAACUGUGAGAGCCUUGGAGUAGGAGGUUUUAUGCCCUUUGGCUUCACUGGAGUGCUGUCAGGUGCUGCUACCUGCUUCUAUGCCUUUGUGGGCUUCGACUGCAUUGCCACCACAGGGGAGGAGGUGAAAAACCCCCAGCGGGCCAUCCCCAUUGGCAUAGUUGCCUCACUCCUCAUCUGCUUUGUGGCCUACUUUGGCGUGUCAGCCGCCCUCACCAUGAUGAUGCCCUACUACCUGCUGGACAAGAUGAGCCCAUUGCCUGUGGCCUUCAAGUAUGUGGGCUGGGAGGGGGCCACCUAUGCAGUGGCAGUGGGUUCACUUUGCGCCCUGUCCACCAGUCUCCUGGGCUCCAUGUUCCCCCUUCCACGCAUUAUCUUUGCCAUGGCGCGCGACGGUCUGCUCUUCUCGUUUCUGGCACGGGUGAGCGAGAGGAAGACUCCCAUCGUCUCUACCAUGGCCGCAGGGUUCAUGUCUGCGGUGAUGGCCUUUCUGUUUGACCUCAAGGACCUGGUGGAUCUCAUGUCUAUUGGCACACUAUUGGCAUACACUCUGGUGGCAGCCUGUGUCCUGGUCCUCCGGUACCAGCCGGAGCAGCCCAUCCAGCUGUACCAGAUGGCCAACACACAAGAUGAGAUGGAACUCAGCGAGUCCAUCGGCACCCUCAGCAUGGGCAUUCUUCCAGGCAUGGAAGAGCGCCUCAGCUUGAAGAACGUGUUCUUUCCUGAAAACCCAGAACCCUCAAAACUGUCUAGCUUUGUUGUCAAUGUCAGCACCAGCAUACUAGGAUUCCUCAUUGUUGUAUUUAGUGUACUAGCAGUUCAAGGAGGGCUUGCACUUUGGAAUGUGAUACUCCUGAGUGUUCUGGUUGUAACCUGCCUGGGCCUCACGCUGGUCAUCUGGAGACAGCCAGAGAGCAGGACGAAGCUGUCUUUUAAGGUCCCCCUGCUGCCUUUCAUCCCAGUGAUCAGCAUGUUUGCCAACGUGUACCUUAUGAUGCAGCUUGACAGGGGUACCUGGAUCCGCUUUGCUGUAUGGAUGGCUAUAGGCCUGGUGAUCUACUUCACCUACGGGAUUUGGCACAGUACAGAAGCUAUUAUGGCCCGUUCCAGUGUUGAGGUCAACCUCAAUGGCUACAAGCCCGCCAGUACUACGGAGAAUCCUAUAGCCCCUGAGAAAGCGGCUUUUCUUGGUGUGGGGAGCGAAGAUGACGGGGAUCUCUAAGGAUCCUGGGGCACUGCCAGCUCCCUGAUUUCCCCCCAUCUAACUUUCUUGUAUUUUGAAAGCAAAUUGUGAUGCUUGAAUGACAUGUUUCAGUCAAAAAAGAGAUUACGGGCAAAUCAAAGGGAACCCAGGCUAACUGAGUUCGGACCGGCCCAAAUCAAAAAAAACACAAUAUUUCAUUUAUUUAUUUUUUGUUUUGUUUUAUGUGGAGAGCAUUUUGCAGUUGCAAAUAAGCUGUCUGUUUUGUUGUUAAUUUUAGAAUGGCAAAUGGAUUACAGCACUCUAGUAUGCAUUAAUAUACAGGUGGUCCUUGACGUACGAUGGGGUUACGUUCCAUGAAACCCAUCAUAAGUCAAAAAUAUUGUAAGUCGAAAAUGCAUUUAAUACACCUGACCUACCGAACAUCAUAGCCUAGCAUACAUGCGAUGGCCAUUACAGGCUUGCCACCUUUAUGCUGGGCACCCUCCUCCUCCUCUUCCCACCAGUAGCAGGAGACACAGAUAGGCAUUUCUGUGACAUUAUGGAUGCACAAAACACAACGUAUAUACCAGGGGGUAUCUGUAUAGCAACCAUGUGACAGACUGGGAGAUGCAGAUUGCUGCCGUUUUCCAGCAUUACAAGAGUAUCGCACUGCAUAUCACUUGCCUGGGGAAAAAGAAAAAAAAUCUAAAUUCAAAGUAUGGUUUCUACUGAACUUCUAUUGCCAGCUCACCAUCGUAAAGUCAAAAAAUCGUAAAUUGGACCAUUGUAAGUCAAGGAGCAUCUGUACGCAGACAUGCAGUUUCUGUUUCUUGGCUGUUAAUUAGGUCCAUUUGCCUUUCUAUUUUGGAAUUCAGUUGACAAAUGUUGCAUAAUUAUUUUAAAGGGCCUUUCUGUCCUCAACUGGCUCAAGAUUCAUCUUUGUGAUUAAAAGCUAUUUCUAGCAAUAGCUGGCUUUUUUUGGGUAGACAACAGUACGGGUUGUUGAAAUGCCUCAGUUCAGUUGGUGUUCUAUGCCAGUAGGGGACCCAAAAAAUAGCACAGAGUGAGCAAUGAUUGUAUUACAUCAAUAAUCAGGUACUGUGUGCCAACCCUGAGGAACCUCAAGUUCAUAACUACAAACAGCUCUUGGGCUGCUAUACUGUUAACUGUAUCAGGGAACGGCUCAUUUUUCACAAGAGACUUUUAUGCUUCAAAGUGCAAUUUUUUUUUAAAGACUACUGAAUGUGACACCUGUCAUUUCUCAUUGAAGAACCGACUGUACAACAUAACAGGUUACUUCAUUUGCAUUAUCUGAGGGCUGACCUGUAAUGUGAGAAUGCAGCUGUGAUGUACUAGUAAAUUAGUAAACCAGUUCUUUGUCUUUGAGUAUUGAAAUGUUAGUGAAAUACAGGCCGUGUGAAUGGAAAGGUUCCCAGCGAACAUUGUUGUAGUAUUUUCACUAUUGCACAGCACUAUGCAGUCUCCCACAUAGAAGUUUAACUCUGAUAGUAGCUAACAGGACAUUUUGUACUGGGAUUACAGUGCUGGUAAUUGUGUCUCAGCUGAAUCAAAUUAAUUUUAUGAUCUGCUAUCCCUUAAAACACAAAUAUGAAAUAUAUUUAAAAAGUUAUACUCUAGAUUUGGAUAUAGAAAAGAAUAGUCUAUUUUAUAAUAAAACCAUAAACUUUAUAUUCA